CCAGCCUGGGCAUUUACAGGAAAGUUGGAUCCCAUUGCCCUGAUAGUGACACCGCCGCUUCCUGGCGUUCUGUCUCCUUCGCAGGAGAUGUUGCAUAAAGACUGACAGCACACAGACAGCCCCAGAGGAGGAUCCGGCUGUGGCGCCGCUGCAUUUGCCAAGGGCAAAUCAGCCUCCGCUCCGGCACUGACUCAUGAAUGCAACCAUCGAUCUGGCGGGGCUGAGCGCCUCAUUGAUCCUACUGCCAGCUCGGGAGGAGUGCCUGGGAGCUCCAGCAGGCAGCUUUUGAAGCACUCCCUGGAGCCCCACCUUAAACAACUCCAACAACCAUCAGUGAUCUACAGCUCAUCUCACAAGCAUUGAGAGUAGGCCUGAACUUGCUUACAGACAGAUCCUCAACCUAAAGCAGCUACUCCUCAGCAGCAAAGGACCACUUAACGAAGAUAGAGACAUGGGAACCAGACCCUGCGGCAGAACCAGAUGCCAACUCCACGUACGCUGUUCAUCUUCAACGUGAUACAUGACGUCAUUCACUGCAAAAUGGAAAUGCCCUUCUGCAUUCUACAUAGGACCAACAGGCCAGACUCCACCCAAAAAAAUAAAUAGAUAGAAAUCUGAUAUUAGAAAUGGCACAAUUCAAAAAACAAUGGGAGAAUUAAAUUUUGAUUUCAUUUAUUUAUUACUAACUUUUAUAGACUGCUUUAUCUGCUAAAAAGCCAUCAAGGAGGUAUGCUUAGAUUAUAGUGAUGGGUGGGACUUAAUGAAGUUGACAAGCACCAUCCCCUGAUUCAUAAGAACAUAGGAAGAGCCACCCUGGAUCAGACCAAAGUCCUAUCUUGUCCAGUAUUCUGUUUCAACAGUGGCCAACCAGCUGCCUAUGGGCGAUAGCACCCUCCCGCUCAUGUUCCCCAGCAAUUGGUAUGCAGAGGCAUACUGAACUGGUUUACACGCAAUGAGACACCACCGUGGGUGCAUUUCCCCAUGGAGCUUCUUGUUUCAGUGGGGACCAUUUUGAACGUUCGAGCCACAACAGGGGCAUACUGUAGCUUCUCACUGUGUAUGAACCUGGUGAGGGUGGUUUCUUGACAAACCACCCACAGAACCUAGGGGCUGUUUGGGGAUUGUGGCUUGUUAACUAGCCCAACAACCCACCUUUGCCGGGUUAGUACGUAAUGAACACUUGGGUGCCCCCUCCCCAGGGCCAGUGCCAGACUACUUUGUGCCCUAGGCAAGGUGAGCUACUUUCACCGCCCCCCACCAAAAAAAAUGCCAACUUUGAUUUUUAAGAACAUAUGUUUCCUGGAAAAAAUAAGAAGCACAAAACUUGAAACUGCUAAAUUUAUUUUAAAGUGCAAGAAAUACGUCAUGCCAAUUGUAGCAAACAAAUUGGAAAGGAACUUCUAUGGGUCUAAAAUGCAUUAUUUAAUAGGAAUAUCACCUCCAAAUCAUUCCCCCCCAACUCACACACGUGCGCACACACACACACACACACACUCAGCAUCACUCACUCCAAACAAACACAUGCAUGAACACAUGCAUUCACUCAAAGACCCCAUGCACCCAUACAUUCUCUCUCUCUCUCUCUCUUCCGGGCAUGUUCCAGAAGUCCGAACAUGGAGCCACCCCACCCCACCCCUGGCUUCACUUCAGCUGAGCGGGUGUGGGGCGCCAUCUCGCCCGCCCAGGCCCAGCUGAAUCCCCAGGCCGGGUUGGCUCACAGCCAACCCGCGUGAGUGCUGUACUGUGCCCGGCGCCCCUCUUAGCUUGGCGCUCUAGGCGGCCGCCUGAGUGGCCUCUAUGGUAGCACCGGCCCUGUCCCUCCCCCUGCUGCACCCUGCAUAUUCAGAAGGGCCACCGCUGUGAUAAGCCCCGCAGGGCUACCAGUAAUAUAUAGCCAUAAUGACUAGUAGGCACUGAUAGCCUUGUCUUCCAUGAAACUCCCGACAAAUCCUGAUUCCCUGUUAGCCUUUGAGAACAGCAGCUUUCACAAAUGGCAAGAGGGCCAGCCCUCCUCUGGUGCCCCCUAAUUUGAUCACUGCAUGUACCCCUUCUGAGCGUUAAAUGGCAUCCCACUCCUCUUUGAAUGCAACCGGGACAGAUCCACAAUUAGAGACACAGGUCUGCUAGAGUGGUCAUAUGUAGUUUGGCCCUAGGCCUCCUUUGCCUUAUAUUGCCAGCAUUUUGUGACUACACAGUGAAUGUGAGACUGAACAGAACCACAAACAAAUGAAAAAGGUAGUGUAAGAGGAGGAGAGAAAGAAGCUGACAAGGCAGUCCUAGCUGGUUUACAACUUUGGCUUGAGAUCAAAGAUGGAGACUCAUCCCUUUCUCAUUGAAGUCACUCCCCCUGGCGUCACUCCCAUCCUGAAGAUCAACAUCACCACUGCACACUACUUGGAAUCAGGAACUCUUUGGUGGUUUAACUUGUGUCUGCUUUUGUGCGUGGAUUCUCAGGACAGAACGAAUGAGGCCACCUGGCUCCAUGGCUGCCAGCAAUGAUUAACAUUUUGGAAGGGAUGUGAAUUUGAAGGAGGAACAGGAAUGCCCAGCAUCCGGAGAAUACAGAUUUUGUAGUACAUUAGAUGAAGAGACUUUACUUGGAAGCAGUAAAAUGGGGGUGGGGGAAAGUAGCGGAAGAUAGAUAUCCCUACAUUAAAAAGUCAACUGCUCAAAGCGGCAAGACUUCCCACUCGCUUUGAAGAUGUUUUUACUAGGGUUUUGAAUAUUCAUAUCAGAAUGAUGCUCCACAAUGGACUUUUAAGUACACUUUAUGGAGUGCUUCCUAAACUUUUGAUAUUUGCUCCCCAACCCUUCUGGAUUAAAAUUGAAGGCAUACUUCACUUUUGGGUGGAGUCUACACUGGAGCCUCUUUCGUUUCUGAGGCAUCACUGCGCUGGUAUUUGUUGCAAAUACAAUUGCUGCUCUGUGGCCUCACGUCAAUGAAUACUGUGAAGUAUCCUCUGUUUUUAUAACGUCAUUCUGUGCCACAUGCCAAUGUAUGGGGUUGCAAUUGUGGUGCAAAUUGGAGGCGUGUACUAGAUCACGUGUGCUGCAUCAUUUGUUUAUAAUGCAAUUUCAUGCCAUGGAGGAUAAAAUGGAGAGGAGGAGGAUUAUGUAUGCCACCUUGGGUUCCUUGGAGGAAAAAAGGUGGGAUAUAAAUGCAAUAAUAAAUAUUGGAAUAUAGAGGCAGAAA